rnacentral:rRNA from 1 species
CCACGCAGUAAACGAUGAUUACUAGGAGUUUGCGAUACAAUGUAAGCUCUACAGCGAAAGCGUUAAGUAAUCCACCUGGGGAGUACGCCGGCAACGGUGAAACUCAAAGGAAUUGACGGGGGCCCGCACAAGCGGAGGAACAUGUGGUUUAAUUCGAUGAUACGCGAGGAACCUUACCCGGGUUUGAACGUAGUCUGACCGGAGUGGAAACACUUUUUCUAGCAAUAGCAGAUUACGAGGUGCUGCAUGGUUGU